AAUAAAUGAAACUGCUUUCUUUGCUCUGUGGAGAUAAGCGAUUUCACUCCCCAGUCUGAACGGCAUGGCAGUGAUGAACAGCUGUGAAUGAAUCAAGUACAGGGUAAAUAUACAAGACAACAAAUGAUUUUUAAGCUCAAUAGCCCAUGAACAAUAACUGUAAUUAAACUCAAUAAAGAACAAGAAAAGAGAAAAGAUGCAGAGUGGAAAAAAACAAAACAAAAAAACUACCCCAAAGAAAAAGCCCCACCACAACAGCUAAACCUGGAAAGACUGAAAGAAACCAGCAGAGCACCGGAGAAUUGCUGAGGCCACUCUGCUUUUCAUUCACCAGGAAGACCAUGUGAGAACACAGUGAGAUGGUGACCAUCUGCAACACAAGGAGAGAGGUCUCGCCAGAAACCAACCCUGAAGGCACCUAGAACUUAGACCUCCAGUCUCCAGAACUAUCUUGAAUAAAUGAAAUUG